GCUCUAGCUGCUGCUGAUUCCAAACCUGAAGGCAACAGGAGCGGGGUGGCAACUAUGGGCGCAUGGAAGACAAGCAGCACAACACCCAAGGAGUGGAAAAUGCACUGACAAAUGUAACAAUUACAAAGGAGUUGGCUGCUGCCCCCGCUCGCUCUCUUCCUCAGACUGUUUCCUCCACAGCACGGAGCAGAAGCAGAGAAGGUGUAACGUAACUUCCCAAAGGUGGAACCACUACAGCGUGUGGAGCUGAGUCGUGAGGCUUCCUGCUCUUCUGGGAUUCCUGGCAUACAUACUUUUUUCUUCUGAAUGCAGAGAUUCCACUUUCUCCCUGGCAAGCAUCUCCUUUGUGUCUGUAUCUUUUCUGUGUCUGAGGCUAAGCUCUCCUGCUCACUCCAUCAGAACACUCUUGUUUUAUGAAGUGAAGCAGGAUGCUGGAACUGCAAAAUACAGCCAAGGCAGACACUUAAACUGAAUCACGGCAGUGUAAACCAGUUUGGCUUCUGCUAUAUCAUGAAUCCAUGGGUCUUCCCAAGAUUCGCAGAGUAAAACCUAACCUCUAACAUGCAGCCUUGGUGAGGAUAGGAGGACAUUUGGUUUGCUC
rnacentral:lncRNA from 1 species